GAUGAACGCUGGCGGCGUGCCUAAUACAUGCAAGUCGAGCGAACAGACGAGGAGCUUGCUCCUCUGACGUUAGCGGCGGACGGGUGAGUAACACGUGGAUAACCUACCUAUAAGACUGGGAUAACUUCGGGAAACCGGAGCUAAUACCGGAUAAUAUAUUGAACCGCAUGGUUCAAUAGUGAAAGACGGUUUUGCUGUCACUUAUAGAUGGAUCCGCGCCGCAUUAGCUAGUUGGUAAGGUAACGGCUUACCAAGGCAACGAUGCGUAGCCGACCUGAGAGGGUGAUCGGCCACACUGGAACUGAGACACGGUCCAGACUCCGACGGGAGGCAGCAGUAGGGAAUCUUCCGCAAUGGGCGAAAGCCUGACGGAGCAACGCCGCGUGAGUGAUGAAGGUCUUCGGAUCGUAAAACGCUGUUAUUAGGGAAGAACAAAUGUGUAAGUAACUAUGCACGUCUGGACGGUACCUAAUCAGAAAGCCACGGCUAACUACGU
rnacentral:rRNA from 1 species